GAUCAGCAGCUAGUCUCUGGGCCUGAAAGGAAAGGAAAAAUGGAUGCUCGUGCUCCCAUGUUCGGGUUCUGUAUCGUCACGGCGGCCGUCGCCGUCGCCGUCGCCGCAGGUGCCGACGAGGCUCAGCUGCAGACAGGCCUCGCGAUUGCCCUCUGUGUCGUGUUCCACGCCGGAAUUGUGCUCCUGCUUAAUGGCGUCCGCCGUGCAUGACAUCGAAAGCCGACACCGGCGAUGUUGUCCAGCAGCUCCCGUCACUCUCAUUAGCGAUGCUGAGUUGCUGACAACUGAGACUGGGACCGCCGGAUCAGGGUUGCUCUUGCUGAUCUUUUGCAUGCACGCACUUCCCCGGAUGUUUUUAAAUUUUCAAAGUGGUUGUUUAUUUUGUUGUGCACUGUCAGUUGCAGUAGACUAGGUUUGACUUGUACUAUAUAUGCUUUCUGUAAUGAAUAACCGCAGCUGUCACUAUAUAUACUUUAUUUCGCCUUUCUUUUUUGCGCUGCAUGGAAGAAAUAGCCUUCUUUCAUUCAGUA